UGAAAACUGUUCACACCAAAGUGUUAAGUUGGAAGCAAUAGUGCACCCCAGAGGAAUUGCAGAUACUUGUUCAAGCACAAAAGACUUGGAAGCUUCAGGGAUAUUACCACCUAGAACUGUGUACCACAUGGGAAGAUUUUGGGUUUUAGAAACAGAUAUCCCCAUCUAUCCUGGGUAAUGUUGCUGUUCUCUUUGCUAUAUGUCCUGACUACACACUGACUUCCUUUGGGAGCCUGUGAUAAGUAAACCUGUUUAAUUCACCCAAGCAGUAUCUUUAUCUGAAGUAUCUUUAUCUGAACCUGCUGUUGAUAUUUAUCGACGUAGUGCUCACACAGUAGGCUAUAUAUUACAAAUAUAUUUUUCCAGUGUGUGGCUUUUCUACUUUAGGCUGUGCUAUCUUUCACCCUUCCAAAAAUUUAUAAUAUAUUCAAGUUCAUUAGUAUUUUUCUUUCUUUUACUUCCUUUUACUUUUACUUUUGUACUUUUUAGGAAAGUCUUUACUUCAAGACCAUAAAUACAUUACAUGUUAGAAUAAUGGAUACAGGGGUGCCUGGGUGGCUCAGUUGGUUAAGCAUCUGCCUUCAGCUUAGGUCAUGAUCCUGGGGUGCUAGAAUCGAGCCCCACAUCUGGUUCCCUGCUCAGCCGGGAAUCUCCUUCUCCCUCUGCCCUUACCCCUGCUCAUGCUAUCUUUUGCUAUUUCUCUCUCUCAAAUAAAUAAAUAAAUAAAUAAAAUCCUAAGGGAAAAAAAAUAAUAAAUGCAUGUUAGAAUUUCUUCUACUAUUUUUACAACUAUUUUGUAUAUAUUACAUACAUACUAUAUUCAUAAUUAUUAUAUCAAUUACAUGUUACUCUGUGACUCGACUCUUCUUUUACUAUAUUGAUUAAAAUUUAGUUUCCUAUGGAUUCUCCUUCAAUGUCUAUCUGUGGUUUUAGUUUGGCUCCUUCUGUCUCAUGAUUGACAGUAUAUAAUCAUUGUGAUAAUUUGUGUACCUGAGAUCAGAUGUAACCUUCUUGACCCCAAUCCAUCUUUUAUUCUGCUAUCAUUGUUUCCCUUCUAAAACACGAAAAAUACAGGCUGGAUUGUAUUCUUUUCUGUUUAGGAACUUCUGGUAGUUCCAAGUGAGUAAUUAUCUCAGCAAACAUUUAUAUAGCCUUUACUAUAUGCCAGGCGCUGUUUUAUGGGUUUUACACAUAUUAAUUCCUUUAAUUCUAAACAAAACAAAACUGAGUUAAGUAGUAGUAUUAUUUUGCUCCAUCUUACAGAUGAGGAAACCACAACACAGUGAAGUUAAGCAACGUGGAAGGAGUGGGAAUUCAAACCAUGUUUGCUGGCUCCAGAAUUUGGGUUUUUAAUCUUUACUGUUUUUAAUUACACUAUUUUUCCACGGAUUCCCACUGAAUACAUAACUAAAUCAAAAUUUCUUAGCACAUCUUCCAACUACGCCUUAUAUUUGAUCAUGCUUCUCUUUCUGCUUCACCUUUUGCCCCUGGAUCUACUAUAGUCUUUGGUUCACCACACUAGACAGAUGAUUUAUGGAACUCACCAUGUAUGUUUAUAACUUUGUUCCUAACUCAGGCUUUUCUCUCAAUCAGUGAUAUCCUUUUAAAUGUUGUCUUAUUUUUUUUCCCAUUCAUUCAUUCCAACAAAGAUUUAUGAAGCCAUACUACUCUGUACCAGGUUCCAGGCUCUGGUGCUGGGUUAUCACAGUAAAUAGGCAAAUCCCUGUUGCAAGGGGCUUUCUAUUAAUGAGGAGCAGAGACAGCCUAGCGCUAAAAUAUAACCUCCAGAAUCGUCUGUUCUUUCUCCAGUUCCAAACUUCAUCUUUGGACUCCUACAGUGUUUAAAAAAUCUUUAUUACGGCACAUUUCACAGCAUACCUUUUUUUUUUUUAUUGUGGUUAGUUGUGUGUCAUCUGCUUCUUAUGAGGAAUGUGUGGGUUCACCUAUGCAUUGUACGACAUGCUAAAGAAAUUGUUGUGUUUGACUAAAUGAAAGGAUGGAGAAGUUUUUUAAAAAGUUUAAAUAUUAGGUGGUGAGGUAGGAAAAGGAGAUCUUUGGAGGCUUUUUUUUUUUUUUAAAGAUCAUAUAUAGGUACAUGUUUGGGACAGCCCAAAUGAUUAACUACUAAAUUAGGAAUAGAAAGAGUACUAACCUUAUUUAUUCCUUCUCUAACAGUAACUUUAGAUGAGAAAGACUUUUGAAUGAGCACAAAGGAUCCUUGCAGCCUGCAGAGACGCUAAUUAUAAGGAAACAGCAAUUUACAUUAUUUAUAAGGAAGCUAUUUACAUUAUUUAGCCCUUCCAGACACAAUAGUUGCCGGGUUCCAUUCUUUCACUACAGUGGAAAGAAUAAAGUGAAGUGACAAGGGAGUAGAAAAGAUAUUCUAAUAGCUUCAUCUCAUUACAAGAAAGAUAAUACUUUGAAAAAUGUAAAAAAAGUGCUUCAAAUAUAAACUGAACAAAAUGGAAACUUCCAUCUUAGCACGAUGAUGAUUCAGAGUACAGCAGCCAUUUAAAUAUUCAGACAAGCUUUUAAAAACUACUGCAAGUGAAGCAUUGUCAACUGUGUAUUUGCAAGGAAGAAAAUGACUAAGAUGCAAUGCUAUGACUAAGAUACAUAAUUCAAGUAUCUGAAUUUAAUAAGUCACUUUUUCUUUUACUGGUGAUAUUGAAAUGUAAGUGCCUGCACACUUAGUAAGAUUGUGAGAAUAGACAGAUCGAGAGGGGAAAGAACCCCCACUUCAUGUGUUUUAUUUUUCUUUUCCUUCCUCCUCUAUGACCACUUUAAUUUUAUCCUGCAGUUUCACAUUCAUCGAUAUAAUAGGUAGAACUCAGUGGCAAAUUACAUCAGCUUUUGAUCCGAAAUAGACCAGUCCGUUAUGUGAGAAAAAGGAGAAGAUGAGAACAGAAAGAAUUUAUCAAGCUCAUUUUUUCAAAAAGAAGAUCUAUUAAUACUUUUUGUAAAUGCCCCAAGAAUGAAUUACUUCUUUAGGCCUAAAAUCCUUUUUUUUUUUUUUUUUUAAAUUUUUAUUUAUUCAUGAUAGGCACACAGUGAGAGAGAGAGAGGCAGAGACACAGGCAGAGGGAGAAGCAGGCUCCAUGCACCGGGAGCCUGACAUGGGAUUCGAUCCCGGAUCUCCAGGAUCGCGCCCUGGGCCAAAGGCAGGCGCCAAACCGCUGCGCCACCCAGGGAUCCCUAGGCCUAAAAUCUUAAAGGCCUAAACAUUUUUACUGCUCACUUAGAGACAAGAUAAAAUCUUAAAUAAUGAUUUUAACAUUUUUACUGCUCACUUAGAGACAAGAUAAAAUCUUAAAUAAUGAUUUCUAUAUCCUGACUGGAGAAUUGAACUCCUACAGUGAAGUGUCUUGACAAGAAAGGUUCUUGGGUCACAAUUACCUGUUCUGAAGAACAAAAUCAUCAUCAUUUUCCUUCAAAGAAUAUUAGAGUACAGUGCACAUGACAUAUUAGGCCAGCCUCAUAAAUUAGCACAGGCCCACAGAGCCUGCAAGAAAUUAGGUCAGACCUGAAAGAAAUCAGGCUGUGGUCCAAUAAGCUUCUUAAUCUUAAGUGGAAAAUUGGGCUCACAGGGUGUUAGGGUCACUAUCUUUAUUUAUUCUUAUGUGUGACAGAACCAGUAACACUUUUCAGUGUUAAAAAUCUAUUUUUCUAAGACAUCAAACAUUUGUUUCUUCUCUUAAUUUUUGGCAUUGCCUAAUUUAUAAAGCAAGCAGGUUCUCUAUGAGUUAAAACUUAUACCUUAAGUAAGUAAAUGAACUUAUUGUUGCCCAUAAUACGCAGGGAAAGAAGAACUUCCCUUGUCCUCACAUAUUUUCCUUAGGGCAUACAGUUUUCCCAAUCAGAAGACCUAAAAUCAGUUUAAAACGCUAAAGUAUUUUGAGAGUUAACACUUGAAGCCGCAAGUAUGCAUUAAUAUCCGGCAGUUAAUUUCAAGUGAAAUGCUUAUUUAGAAUACAGUGAUAAUUAGAGUAAGGGGAAACAUAAAUGAAGAACUAUAAUGUAACCUUAUUAGGCACAGACAUCAUUUCCACAGUUACAGACCUCAAGGUACAAAAAGAGGGAAGAGAAUGGAUCAUUUGCAUGCACUUGAUUUUAUUUGUUUACUCAUGAGAGACACACAGAAAGAGGCAGAGACACAGGCAGAGGGAGAAGCAGGCUCCUCCAUGGGGAACCCGAUGCGGGACUCGAUUCCAGGACCCCGGGAUCACGACCUGAGCUGAAGACAGAUGCUCAACCACUGAGCCACCCAGGCGUCCCACGAACUUGAUUCUUAAAUUGUCAGAUAUUUUCCUAAUUUUGAUUUUAUUGAUAAGGUUAGGUUUUUUUUUUUGGAUGGCCAGUGAAGCUUAUUCAUUUUGAGCCCAGGCUUUGGAGUCCGAAGGCUGGGGGAUCUGGUCCCCGACACUACGGUUUACUCUGACUUUGAUGCGUGAACUUUGGUGUAUUAAAUUGGGAAAUGGAGCUACUCCUAAUACCCUACGUGAUAAAGCUGUUAUCACGAUUAAAUGAGAUCAAUGAGAUUAUGUGACAAACGCUUAGAACAACGCCUGGCACAUGUUAAUAAUCGUUAUCGUCAUUAAGUGGUCGAAAUGGAAAACGAGUAUAGUCUGAAUUUGCUAUUGUAAGUUUUUGGCUCUACUAUCCGCGGGCUCUCUGCGCACAAUCUUCUCUCUUCUCUCCUACCGCGGGGGGCCAGU
rnacentral:lncRNA from 1 species